GGAAAUCUGAGGCAGAUUAUGAGCAAUAGAAGCAAUCACUUGUGCAUUUGGCUCAUAUUGUUAACUUUGCUUGCAUGUGUAAGCACAUGACAUGUAUCAAAAAUAACAUUUUUUUAGAGUGGUAUGAUGCUCUCAUUUCAUGUUAUUUAUCAGAUAUCAUUUUGUCUAUGUAUUCUGAAAACAUAACCUGCCAAUCAUUUCAUUAAGUUAACUGCUGUUAUUUAUUGAUUGCCAAACC
rnacentral:misc_RNA from 1 species